AACGAACGCUGGCGGCAUGCCUAACACAUGCAAGUCGAACGAGACCUUCGGUCUUGUUGCGCACGGGUUCGUUACCCCUUGGAAACCUGCCUUUGGUUUGGGAUAACCCCCCCGAAGGGGUUCCAAUUCCCGGUUAUUUCUUCCGGCCAAAGAUUUAUCGCCUUUGGAUGGGCCCGCGUUGGAUUAGCUAGUUGGUAGGGUAAAAGCCUACCAAGGCGACGAUCCAUAGCUGGUCUGAGAGGAUGAUCAGCCACACUGGGACUGAGACACGGCCCAGACUCCUACGGGAGGCAGCAGUGGGGAAUAUUGGACAAUGGGCGAAAGCCUGAUCCAGCAAUGCCGCGUGAGUGAUGAAGGCCUUAGGGUUGUAAAGCUCUUUUACCCGGGAUGAUAAUGACAGUACCGGGAGAAUAAGCGCCGGCUAACUCCGUG
rnacentral:rRNA from 1 species